AGAGGUCUCAAGCGUUGUUCGGAUUUACUGGGGCGUAAAGAGUGCGUAGGCGGCGAGGUAAGUCAGAUGUGAAAGCUCAGGGGCUCAACCCUGAAAUUGCAUCCGAUACUGCCUUGCUAGAGUAAUGGAGGGGAGUCUGGAAUUCACGGUGUAGCAGUGAAAUGCGUAGAGAUCGUGAGGAACACUAGUGGCGAAGGCGAGACUCUGGACAUUUACUGACGCUCAGGCACGAAGGCUAGGGUAGCGAAGCGGAUUAGAUACCCGCGUAGUCCUAGCAGUAAACGGUGCGCGUUUGGUGUGGGAGGAUUCGACCCCUUCCGUGCCGGAGCUAACGCGUUAAACGCGCCGCCUGGGGAGUACGAUCGCAAGAUUA
rnacentral:rRNA from 1 species